UUGAAGCAGCAGGUUGACUGGGUUGGUUCAGGUAACUUGAAGCAGCAGGUUGACUGGGUUGGUUGAGGUAACUUGAAGCAGCAGGUUGACUGGGUUGGUUGAGGUAACUUGAAGCAGCAGGUUGACUGGGUUGGUUGAGGUAACAUGAAGCAGCAGGUUGACUGGGGUAACUUGAAGCAGCAGGUUGACUGGGUUGGUUGAGGUAACUUGAAGCAGCAGGUUGACUGGGUUGGUUGAGGUAACUUGAAGCAGCAGGUUGACUGGGUUGGUUGAGGUAACUUGAAGCAGCAGGUUGACUGGGUUGGUUGAGGUAACAUGAAGCAGCAGGUUGACUGGGGUAACUUGAAGCAGCAGGUUGACUGGGUUGGUUGAGGUAACUUGAAGCAGCAGGUUGACUGGGGUAACUUGAAGCAGCAGGUUGACUGAGGUAACUUAAAGCAGCAGGUUGACUGGGUUGGUUGAGGUAACUUGAAGCAGCAGGUUGACUGGGUUGGUUGAGGUAACAUGAAGCAGCAGGUUGACUGGGUUGGUUGAGGUAACUUGAAGCAGCAGGUUGACUGGGUUGGUUGGAGUUACUUGGAGCAGCAGGUUGACUGGGUUGGUUGAGGUAACAUGAAUCAGCAGGUUGACUGAGUUGGUUGAGGUAACAUGAAGCAGCAGGUUGACUGGGGUAACUUGAAGCAGCAGGUUGACUGAGGUAACUUAAAGCAGCAGGUUGACUGGGUUGGUUGAGGUAACUUGAAGAAGCAGGUUGACUGGUUUGGUUGAGGUAACUUGAAGCAGCAGGUUGACUGGGG